CCUACGGGAGGCAGCAGUGGGGAAUAUUGGACAAUGGGGGGAACCCUGAUCCAGCCAUGCCGCGUGUGUGAAGAAGGCCCUCGGGUUGUAAAGCACUUUCAGUGAGGAAGAACGCCUGGUGGUUAAUACCCAUCAGGAAAGACAUCACUCACAGAAGAAGCACCGGCUAACUCCGUGCCAGCAGCCGCGGUAAUACGGAGGGUGCGAGCGUUAAUCGGAAUUACUGGGCGUAAAGCGCGCGUAGGUGGCUUGAUAAGCCGGUUGUGAAAGCCCCGGGCUCAACCUGGGAACGGCAUCCGGAACUGUCAAGCUAGAGUGCAGGAGAGGAAGGUAGAAUUCCCGGUGGAGCGGUGAAAUGCGUAGAGAUCGGGAGGAAUAACAGUGGCGAAGGCGGCCUUCUGGACUGACACUGACACUGAGGUGCGAAAGCGUGGGUAGCAAACAGGAUUAGAUACCCCAGUAGUC
rnacentral:rRNA from 1 species